rnacentral:rRNA from 1 species
AAGCUUGCUUUCUUUGCUGGCGACCGGCGCACGGGUGAGUAACACGUAUCCAACCUGCCCUUUACUCGGGGAUAGCCUUUCGAAAGAAAGAUUAAUACCCGAUGGGAUAAUGAUUCCGCAUGGUCUGAUUAUUAAAGGAUUCCGGUAAAGGAUGGGGAUGCGUUCCAUUAGGUUGUUGGUGAGGUAACGGCUCACCAAGCCUUCGAUGGAUAGGGGUUCUGAGAGGAAGGUCCCCCACAUUGGAACUGAGACACGGUCCAAACUCCUACGGGAGGCAGCAGUGAGGAAUAUUGGUCAAUGGGC